UACGAAGGGGGCUAGCGUUGCUCGGAAUCACUGGGCGUAAAGGGUGCGUAGGCGGGUCUUUUAAGUCAGGGGUGAAAUCCUGGAGCUCAACUCCAGAACUGCCUUUGAUACUGAAGAUCUUGAGUUCGGGAGAGGUGAGUGGAACUGCGAGUGUAGAGGUGAAAUUCGUAGAUAUUCGCAAGAACACCAGUGGCGAAGGCGGCUCACUGGUCCGGUACUGACGCUGAGGUG
rnacentral:rRNA from 1 species